GACAAAAGCCUUAUUUGUGAAAUAAGGCUUUGCAGAGGCUUUUGUUGGACUUGAUCCCGUACCGCUAUUACUCCUACUACUUAUAACAAUCAGGAAUGAU